CGAACCGGGGGAACUGAAACAUCUAAGUACCCCGAGGAAAAGAAAUCAACCGAGAUUCCCCCAGUAGCGGCGAGCGAACGGGGAGCAGCCCAGAGCCUGAAUCAGUAUGUGUGUUAGUGGAAGCGUCUGGAAAGGCGCGCGAUACAGGGUGACAGCCCCGUACACAAAAAUGCACAUGCUGUGAGCUCGAUGAGUAGGGCGGGACACGUGGUAUCCUGUCUGAAUAUGGGGGGACCAUCCUCCAAGGCUAAAUACUCCUGACUGACCGAUAGUGAACCAGUACCGUGAGGGAAAGGCGAAAAGAACCCCGGCGAGGGGAGUGAAAAAGAACCUGAAACCGUGUACGUACAAGCAGUGGGAGCACGCUUAGGCGUGUGACUGCGUACCUUUUGUAUAAUGGGUCAGCGACUUAUAUUCUGUAGCAAGGUUAACCGAAUAGGGGAGCCGAAGGGAAACCGAGUCUUAACUGGGCGUUAAGUUGCAGGGUAUAGACCCGAAACCCGGUGAUCUAGCCAUGGGCAGGUUGAAGGUUGGGUAACACUAACUGGAGGACCGAACCGACUAAUGUUGAAAAAUUAGCGGAUGACUUGUGGCUGGGGGUGAAAGGCCAAUCAAACCGGGAGAUAGCUGGUUCUCCCCGAAAGCUAUUUAGGUAGCGCCUCGUGAAUUCAUCUCCGGGGGUAGAGCACUGUUUCGGCAAGGGGGUCAUCCCGACUUACCAACCCGAUGCAAACUGCGAAUACCGGAGAAUGUUAUCACGGGAGACACACGGCGGGUGCUAACGUCCGUCGUGAAGAGGGAAACAACCCAGACCGCCAGCUAAGGUCCCAAAGUCAUGGUUAAGUGGGAAACGAUGUGGGAAGGCCCAGACAGCCAGGAUGUUGGCUUAGAAGCAGCCAUCAUUUAAAGAAAGCGUAAUAGCUCACUGGUCGAGUCGGCCUGCGCGGAAGAUGUAACGGGGCUAAACCAUGCACCGAAGCUGCGGCAGCGACGCUGAUGCGUUGUUGGGUAGGGGAGCGUUCUGUAAGCCUGCGAAGGUGUGCUGUGAGGCAUGCUGGAGGUAUCAGAAGUGCGAAUGCUGACAUAAGUAACGAUAAAGCGGGUGAAAAGCCCGCUCGCCGGAAGACCAAGGGUUCCUGUCCAACGUUAAUCGGGGCAGGGUGAGUCGACCCCUAAGGCGAGGCCGAAAGGCGUAGUCGAUGGGAAACAGGUUAAUAUUCCUGUACUUGGUGUUACUGCGAAGGGGGGACGGAGAAGGCUAUGUUGGCCGGGCGACGGUUGUCCCGGUUUAAGCGUGUAGGCUGGUUUUCCAGGCAAAUCCGGAAAAUCAAGGCUGAGGCGUGAUGACGAGGCACUGCGGUGCUGAAGCAACAAAUGCCCUGCUUCCAGGAAAAGCCUCUAAGCAUCAGGUAACAUCAAAUCGUACCCCAAACCGACACAGGUGGUCAGGUAGAGAAUACCAAGGCGCUUGAGAGAACUCGGGUGAAGGAACUAGGCAAAAUGGUGCCGUAACUUCGGGAGAAGGCACGCUGAUAUGUAGGUGAAGUCCCUCGCGGAUGGAGCUGAAAUCAGUCGAAGAUACCAGCUGGCUGCAACUGUUUAUUAAAAACACAGCACUGUGCAAACACGAAAGUGGACGUAUACGGUGUGACGCCUGCCCGGUGCCGGAAGGUUAAUUGAUGGGGUUAGCGCAAGCGAAGCUCUUGAUCGAAGCCCCGGUAAACGGCGGCCGUAACUAUAACGGUCCUAAGGUAGCGAAAUUCCUUGUCGGGUAAGUUCCGACCUGCACGAAUGGCG
rnacentral:rRNA from 1 species